rnacentral:lncRNA from 1 species
ACAUAUGAAAACCACCAGUCGAGGUAUCAAUGAAGCAGAUACCAAAAGAAGGCUCUUCGUUGUCAGAUUGAAGACUUUCUUUAAUAGCCAUACAAUAUGUUGACAAGUCAGAAGUCAGCAUUGCCUCGUCAACAAGGGUCCCGCUCGUUAAGACUUGGGUAAGGCCUCGCUGAACUACUUUUUCUUCCUUCUGAGUUCGUUGACGAUCUUUUAUUUCUUUACCUAAAGCGGUUUCCAAUUGGUCGACUCGAGCUAUACGAUACCCCUUUGCAAUGAAUUGAGAUGCCCAGUAAUCAAAACUUGCUUCAGGAAUUCCAACCAUCUUCAUAUUAACUCUAUCAGUUAACUUUAAGGAAAAUACCUGAUGUCCGAUAGCGGCAUCAUUCUCAUAUAACUCAUAAAAUUUUCCCUUCUGAAAAAAAACAACUGUAUCCAUAAGGUCCUUUUUAAUUUUCCAAAAUUGUUUCUCAAAUGGCUUGAAAGUUGCCCAAGCUGAAGGUGGGAUAUACAAUGUGCGCGGAUCAUAAUUAGGAUCACCCACUCGAUUUUGAUCAGCAUCUCGAACAUCUAGCAACCACUCGUAACGUUCGUUGUUUUCUUUUUUAAAUGCCUCCAUUCUUUGCCUUCUUUUUUCUUCUCUGUUCAGGACACCGUUUUUAUUCGAUUUUGUGGGAGAUGCAGAACCCGAGACCGAAGGGCUUGGACUGGCAAUUUGAGAGCCUAGCCGAUAACUUUCAUACAAAGAAUUGGAACUCUCCUUUCGAGAUUCCUUUUUGGGAAUUGGAGCAGCCACAGAAACGGAAUGAUCUGAAUAUCCAUCAACAUCCUCAUCCAUAGAUUCGACUUCAUCAAUAGGCAAGGAUGCCUCAGAUGAGGCUUCCGAAAUAUGAUCGGGCUCAACGUAGUCAUCCGAUUCGUCAUCAGAAACGAUUCUUUUAUGACGAGAUCCUUUGGUAGGUGCAUCGUCGAAGUCUUCGUCUUCAUCACUUUCAGCGUAGGAAACAGGCUAGCAUAUUGUUAGUCAUAAUUAAUUAAAACAAAAAUCUGGUUAAUAUAGGGGUAAAGUGCGUAUUUCCCCUUUUAUUCUUCUAAAGUAAUAUGUAUCACUCAAUUACCCAUACCUUCCUUGAACGCCGAGAAGCUAUAAAAGGCUUGUCGACUUCAGAUAAUUCCGAAUUUUCCAGCUUCGACGAGACAGGAUGACGAAAUUGAUCUUCAGCUUGAAAUAUUGAUGUAUCCAAACUUUUAAAACUUUUCUUUUUCGUCGGAGAAUCGAUUUCUUCUUCAGAGUCGGGCUCUUGCUUCACAGACGUGCGAAGCAAUUUACCUGGUGACUCCUCGCCCAAAGAAUCAUGAGGGCGUUUAGGAGAUGAUCGGUGUAGGCUGCUAGAAAGCGGUGAGGAAAAUGGAUCACUUGAUGGAGGAGGAAGCAUAGAUGAACUGGAAUCUAUCUCGGUAUUCGCAUGAUGAGAAGGACUCGUUGGCAAUUCGCGUUCCGGAGACGAAGAGUUUUUGUUCACAUUGGAGCUGUUGUCAACAUCAGCAGGCGUAUCAUGAUUAGAGUCGUGAUUCGAACUACUAGAUAAUGUAGAAUCCGACUUCUCUUGUUUCACAUUCGGGAUUUUGGAGAAAAACCCAAAGAGGGUUUUCUGCUUUGUUUUAGCUGAUGAAUCUUUUGUUUUCUCCCUUUGCUUGCCAACGUUCCCAACGCUCAUACUGGAACAAGUGUUGGUUUUGGCUAAGUUCAGUUAUUUACAAAAAGCAGCAUUCUAAUAGUAAACAAAGCUAACAUGAGAGCACAAAAUAACAUAUAUAAUUUCC